CUGGAAUAUGGAUUUUCUUUAGGAGACUACAGAAAAUUUUAAGAUUCCCUCUGCCCAGAUUGAGUGAAGAUGAAGUUAAAUUACAGAAUUUGACCACAUUGGGAACAUUGCUUAACUCCCCUAUUUUGACAUUUUCAGGCUGUAAAAAUGGUAUGAAAACAGAUCCUCUUGAGAAACCUGCAGUUUCGUGCAAAGUCUUAGGCAGUAACUGCACACGAUGGGGCUGGCUGUUAGUGGUUGUGACAUCUGCAGUUCUGUUCAGAGCCUUAAGUGGUAAAUGCACACAGUGGGGCUGGCUGUGAGCUGUUGUGAUUAUGGGAACAGCAAAGCUGCCAGCCUGGGUGUCUAGGCUGGAAUGGUUGCUUGCAGCUGGACCUUGGCAGGCCAGCUGGGGUUAAAAUGGUUCAGGGAGGUGGAUGUUCCAGAUCUCACUAGGCAGUUCUAGAAAAAUACUUUUGCUAAAAGGAGGUUGUGAGGGGUGUGGAAACAGUUGUAAUCUCCUGGAGGUCUUGGUGUGUACCCUGAAAUCAUAUAGGCUUGUCAGGCCUAGACACAGGUUUCAGGGAAUGCCCUGCAAAGACCAUUCAUCUGGCAAAGAGAAUUCAUUAUUGGGGCCAGAGUCAUUAUCUUUAUUUUUGUAAUGUCCUCAUUUAUAAGGUGUAAAGAGAAGGACUGAAGAAGGCUCCAAUAAGGAAAUGGAUGUGUGCACCAGAACAGGUUUGGGGCUGGUGUAUGUAAGCAGAGGGAGCAUGUGUUUUAUUUGAACAUAAAAAGGACUUCUUAAAGCUGGAUUCCCUCAUAUAAACACACUGGGCAACCUGAGAUGACAGUAGACUCCCUGGAGAAAACACUGGAGCAGAGUCACAACAGAAGGGAGCACUCAGGACUGUGGUACAUGGCAGGGUAGACCAAGGAUGUCGCUUAAGGCAAUGGAGAAAAGGCCAGGGAAGAGAGAACUGGAUAGCUAGAGGAGAGGACUACAAGGAUGCUUAUGGGGGAUGAUCACAACCCAGGCAAGUGUGUGGUUUUAUUUACUUUCUUCCUAUCACCUUCUGAUGCAGUAAGAAUGACCCUUGUGCUAUAGCUGAGAUGGAAGAUCGUCCGGCCAGAGCUACAGAGCAUUGCCUCCAAGUCUGUUCUCUUUCUCUACCAUUCAGUCAAGUGAGAAAAGUAGAGGAGGAAAGCAGUGGGCAGUUGGUAUGGACUCUGAGAGCCUCAGUUCCAGGAGCUACAACAUGAUGAAGAGACCACCCCCCCAAACUGUUCUGGUAACUGACUGGGAGCAAGCAUUAGACAGCAAAUGGAUCAUCAGCAUCUCUAGAGAUGAACUGUUAUUGAUGUCAGUUUUCUUUUUUAAUAAAUAAAUAAAUUAAUUAAAAAAUU